ACGGAGGGUGCAAGCGUUAUCCGGAAUUACUGGGUUUAAAGGAUGCGUAGGCGGGCUAAUAAGUCAGAAGUGAAAGCUCACGGCUCAACUGUGGAAUUGCUUUUGAUACUGUUAGUCUUGAAUUAGGUUGAGGUUGGCGGAAUGAGUCAUGUAGCGGUGAAAUGCAUAGAUAUGACUUAGAACACCAAUUGCGAAGGCAGCUGACUGGACCUUAAUUGACGCUGAGGCAUGAAAGCGUGGGGAGCGAACAGG
rnacentral:rRNA from 1 species